rnacentral:rRNA from 1 species
AAACCAACUGGGAUUGCCUUAGUAACGGCGAGUGAAGCGGCAAAAGCUCAAAUUUGAAAUCUGGUACCUUUGGUGCCCGAGUUGUAAUUUGGAGAGUACCACUUUGGGACUGUACUUUGCCUAUGUUCCUUGGAACAGGACGUCAUGGAGGGUGAGAAUCCCGUGUGGCGAGGGUGUCAGUUCUUUGUAAAGGGUGCUCGAAGAGUCGAGUUGUUUGGGAAUGCAGCUCUAAGUGGGUGGUAAAUUCCAUCUAAAGCUAAAUACAGGCGAGAGACCGAUAGCGAACAAGUACAGUGAUGGAAAGAUGAAAAGAACUUUGAAAAGAGAGUGAAAAAGUACGUGAAAUUGUUGAAAGGGAAGGGCAUUUGAUCAGACAUGGUGUUUUGCGCCCCUUGCCUCUCGUGGGCUUGGGACUCUCGCAGCUCACUGGGCCAGCAUCGGUUUUGGCGGCCGGAAAAAACCUAGGGAAUGUGGCUCUGCGCCUCGGUGUAGAGUGUUAUAG